GCUUAAUUUAAUCCCUGUAAUAGCAGUCUGGUUUUCCUUCUUCUGCUUUUUCUAUGCUUAAGUAAGAUAUGACUUCUACCUUAACAGCAAAGAUUACCAAAGAUGUGACCCGUUUUUCAUAGUUUCCGGAGAAAGUUAAGUGUACGGAAUCGGUCUCACAUGUUGUACCGUGGUAAUGUUCUUGGAAAACUUACCACCUUAAUUACUUUAAUUUCCUUUGUUAGGCAUGCACGUAGGAAGGGGCGGAGCUAGGUGGGCAGAAGUGGUUCAGCCAAAUCCCCUUUGCCGAAAUCCCCUUUGCCGAAAGAUGCAAAUAUUCCUUCAAGUUCAGUUUCAACAUCUGGGACCAGUGGUUUGGAUGAUAAUGAUGGUGUUAAAGAUUAUUUGAUUUGGUCUACACUAGGACAGCAUCAACAAACUAGUAGCAGGAAUAUUGAUGAACUUCAAUUCUGCAAAAGUCAGCAGAGCCCUGCACUAAGGGAUUUCUACCACUGGGUUGGUGGAGGAGUAACUCAAAUCAAUUUUCUGUCUUUCGGCCAUGGCUCGAGACGUGCUAAAUGUGCUGAUUUCAACAGUCGCAUCAGAGAGCGCAUUUAG